CCAGCUGAACUACCCCAUAUAGAAAUGUUUUCCUGACAGCUGACGGGAAUUGGACGUUCCUAUAUCAAUUUUCUCAUGUUCAUCCAAGAAACUGUAAAUAGUCAUGAAAAUGCAGGAAGAGUGGAUGGGUCUUGCCCUUCGGUUGGGUUUUGUAUAGGACAGGUGCUUUGGACUUUGCUUAACGCUAUGUGGCAUUACAGGCUGGUGUGUCUUCCAAUGCACUGCCUUAUGCUAUUGUUUUAAACGAACAUUUGCCUACAUGCAAUAUCUGCCGUGCUGCAGAGCACCCCCCAACUCAGUGUCUUACAACUGUUCUUGCAGGAGUCUACAGUUCCUGCUGAGAGAGGCUGAAUCUGGCCAUUGCCGCUUUAUACGCUCACAGAGAAAUCCUAAGUGAUGGUCACAAAACAAGACUGUGGCCACGCUGGGAACCGAACUCAAGAAUAACUAGUUUCCAACCAUUUGUGGCACCAACUUCUAGGAGGCAGCGGAGGGUGCACAAAGUCCUGCUGCCGCCCAGCGCUGGGUGCCGGCGUGUUGAACAGAGGUGAAGGGCCGCCUCUUCCUCCACCGUGCCUGCCAGGCAAGAGGAGUCCAAGCAGCAGCCCAAGAGGCAAACGGAUUUAAGCAUCAGCCUAAAGAAGGCCUAUCGAUCCCAGCGAUACACAUGUCCGAGAGCCACAGACGAGGCUCCAUCCCUCCCUGGAGAACAUCCGUCGCUGCGUUGCCGCCCGGCACGCCAGCCCCAAGCGCCUCGCGCCGGGUGCAGGCAGGGCAGAGGGAUCAGCCCACGGCCCCGAACCCUGAGCCACUGCUGCAGCGAUGAGCAAAAGUACCAGGAACUGCUUCUCCCAAGGGAAGAACUCGCUGGAAUCCGGUGCUCACCUUUUCCCGUGGUUUUUCCCAUGUGCUGCCAGGAGCUGCAGCGUAUUCCCAAGCCUUGGGGACGCAUCUAUUGAAACAAGACCAAAGCUCAGCUACUCUUCAGCGCCCGAAGCUGACCUUUUCCAGGGGCACCUUGAUGGUUAAUGAUCCCAAACUACCAGCUGGCCUUAAAUUCACCGACUGCAGCCC
rnacentral:lncRNA from 1 species